rnacentral:rRNA from 1 species
UAAUACGUAGGGUGCGAGCGUUAAUCGGAAUUACUGGGCGUAAAGCGUGCGCAGGCGGUUCGCUAAGACCGAUGUGAAAUCCCCGGGCUUAACCUGGGAACUGCAUUGGUGACUGGCGAGCUAGAGUGUGGCAGAGGGGGGUAGAAUUCCACGUGUAGCAGUGAAAUGCGUAGAGAUGUGGAGGAAUACCGAUGGCGAAGGCAGCCCCCUGGGCUAACACUGACGCUCAUGCACGAAAGCGUGGGGAGCAAACAGG